GAGCAUCAGAAGCUCAGUUUAAUCAUCUUACAAUACCCACUUGCCCGCACAGGACCUUGAACAUGUUGGAAAAUAAAAGGAGUGAAGACUGAGAAAUGAGUGAAUUGAUAUUCAAAAAAUAACACAUUGCUAGGUUUCCUAAUAUGUUGUCAGAAAGAUGGAGC